AUGCUCAAAAUUCUCCAAGCCAAGCUUCAACAGUACAUGAACUGUGAACUUCCUGAUGUUCAAGCCGGAUUAGAAAAGGCAGAGGAAUCAGAGAUCAAAUUGCCCACAUCCACUGGAUCAUGGAAAAAGCAAGAGAGUUCCAGAAAAACAUCUAUUUCUGCUUUAUUGAUUAUGCCAAAGCCUUUGACUGUGUGGAUCACAAAAAGACUGUGGAAAAUUCUGAGAGAGAUGGGAAUACCAGACCACCUGACCUGCCUCUUGAGAAACCUGUAUGCAGGUCAGGAAGCAACAGUUACAACUGGAUAUGGAACAACAGACUGGUUCCAAAUAGGAAAAGGAGUACGUCAAGGCUGUAUAUUGUCACCCUGCUUAUUUAACUUAUAUGCAGAGUACAUCAUGAGAAACGCUGGACUGGAAGAAACACAAGCUGGAAUCAAGAUUGCUGGGAGAAAUAUCAAUCACCUCAGAUAUGCAGAUGACACCACCCUUAUGGCAGAAAGUGAAGAGGAACUAAAAAGCCUCUUGAUGAAAGUGAAAGAGGAGAGUGAAAAAGUUGGCUUAAAGCUCAACAUUCAGAAAACGAAGAUCAUGGCAUCCGGUCCCAUCACUUCAUGGGAAAUAGAUGGGGAAACAGUGGAAACAGUGUCAGACUUUAUUUUUUUGGGCUCCAAAAUCACUGCAGAUGGUGACUGCAGCCAUGAAAUUAAAAGACGCUUACUCCUUGGAAGAAAAGUUAUGACCAACCUAGACAGCAUAUUCAAAAGCAGAGACAUUACUUUGCCGACUGAGGUCCAUCUAGUCAAGGCUAUGGUUUUUCCUGUGGUCAUGUAUGGAUGUAAGAGUUGGACUGUGAAGAAAGCUGAGCACCAAAGAAUUGAUGCUUUUGAACUGUGGUGUUGGAGAAGACUCUUGAGAGUCCCUUGGACUGCAAGGAGAUCCAACCAGUCCAUUCUGAAAGAGAUCAGCCCUGGGAUUUCUUUGGAAGGAAUGAUGCUAAAGCUGAAUCUCCAGUACUUUGGCCACCUCAUGCGAGGAGUUGACGCAUUGGAAAAGACUCUGAUGCUGGGAGGGAUUGGGGGCAGGAGGAGAAGGGGACAACAGAGGAUGAGAUGGCUGGGUGUCAUCACUGACUCCAUGGAUGUGAAGCUGAGUGAACUCUGGGAGUUGGUGAUAGAUAGGGAGGCCUGGCGUGCUGCAAUUCAUGGGGUCGCAAAGAGUCAGACACGACUGAGUGACUGA
rnacentral:lncRNA from 1 species